UGUAACCAUGGGAUGAACAAACCUUUACCUGUCUGUGCUACUGGAAGGUCUGCCAGAUUCCGAAGGGGAAAGUUGACUUUGACACCUCCUCAGAAGCAUGACUCGCACAAAGCCUGCUGCUUCUCUCAUGUGGGAGGCAGAAAACGUCUUCGUCCAGCAGUGAGGCAUGCACAGAGAGAAAGAGAUUGUUUAAAACACAGAAGAUAUUAAAAUAGAUAAGGAGGAAAGUGGGAAAAGCUGCAGAGAACCACUGACUGUCCCAUGUCCAGGAGCACACAGGUCCAGCAAAGUCCAUUCGGCAUGCACAAAAUGAGUUUCUCAACAGAGUAAGUGUCUAGUGCUCCUUUAGCUCAAAAUACCUGGUUUUGGCAUAUUAUUGCAAUAGUCCCACAUGCAGAUGCAGCAAGAGACGACUGCUGAGCUCAUCGCUACGCAGUGUCUUUUUUGUCCUGUUAGUUUUCCGCCAGUUCAGUGAACUGAAUUGGCUCAUGGAAGCAUCUCCAGUGCCAGAAACAUCAGUGAACAGAGAGUAGCAGUGGAAUCAAGACUGGCACUUCUGAUAGCUUUUAGGGUAAGCCAGACAUGCUGGUU